rnacentral:misc_RNA from 1 species
GAGUGGUCUCCCCUUGAGAGAGUGAACAAAAAUGGCUGCCACUACCGUAACGUUUGAAAUCUUCAGUGGAGGAUAAUUCCUAGAUCUACAGUAUACAGCUUUAGACAUGCCGAUUAAGAGACGCAGCCUUCUCGCCAUCACACAACAGCAGCACAGAGGAAACAUCAUCUCGCCCCUGUUUGUCCAUAUCUGCAUUCUACGAUGACUGGGAAACUUUACGUUGUGAUGAUGCUGGUUCUACUAGUUGCUGGCGCAAACGCUCAAUGGGGCACGUGCACCCAGGCCGGAGGGCGAUGCAGCAAUGUCCCCGGGGGUAACCCACAGAUCGGAUGCUGUCGGGGCCUCAUGUGCAAGAUGGUCUCCAUCAACUACAGCACGUGUCAGUACGUUACAGGGCGACGUUGAUAACACUACAUCCACUGUAAUAAACUACUAAACACUU